rnacentral:lncRNA from 1 species
CGCCAGGCCCGAGGAAGAGGUGCGGGCGCCCAUUUCAAGCCAUUGAAAAGUUCCAUAGGGGGGAGGGGAAAUGGCACGGCAGGAAAUUCCUGACCAGCUGUGUAACUGCUUACACCAAUGCGUUGGCAGAUAAGUGCAUUUUUGUGAUUCUGCUUCGGCCCCAUGUUUAUGGCCUCUUCUGAUAUGUCAUCUGGCUCAUGUAUUACAGCUCCGUCCGGACACCAUCCAACGGUACGAUUCAACAAACCGUAGCUUCAUCUUGAUCACCUGGAAAUGCUCUUGGCCUUUGCAAAAUGGACGAAGAGGCUAACAAUGAAAAUACUGGAGGAAAUUUGCUCUAGAGCAGUCCCACGGUGAUCCCCAUGACGAUGGAGCGCCAGAACCCGUGACUGGCAACGUAACACCAGUCUCCUCUGGAGUAAAUACGACCAUUUCAAGCAGACUGCCAACCAGACAGCAGAAAGCACAGCAGCUGGAAAGCACCGAGAACAGGCAGAGAAUGCUGCCUUGUGCACCGUCUAGCCAUCCGACCAGGAAUGGAGGCAAUCGGUGCUUCACCCUUUGAUGUUCCUUCCGGGUGUUCUGGUGCCCACAGCACUUGGGAAACCAAGGCAGAAGGAUCAUCACAAGUUCAAAGGCAACCUGGGACUCUAGACAGACUAUUCGAAAAAAUUAUACAAGUAAAUGCAAGAAAGUAAGCACUUCCUUUCGAGGUGGCUCGGUGUUCCUUAUCCCAUCUCUGUUUUCAUGUCACCCUUUCUCUGCAGAGACAUCCU